UGCAGGUUAGCAUGUUGCUUUAGCUCGGUGCUCUGCAGGUUAGCAUGUUGCUUUAGCUCGGUGCUCUGCAGGUUAGCAUGCCGCUUUAACUCGGUGCUCUGCAGGUUAGCAUGUUGCUUUAGCUCGGUGCUCUGCAGGUUAGCAUGUUGCUUUAGCUCGGGGAUCUGCAGGUUAGCAUGUUGCUUUAGCUCGGUGCUCUGCAGGUUAGCAUGUUGCUUUAGCUCGGUGCUCUGCAGGUUAGCAUGUUGCUUUAGCUCGGUGCUCUGCAGGUUAGCAUGCCGCUUUAACUCGGUGCUCUGCAGGUUAGCAUGUUGCUUUAGCUCGGGGAUCUGCAGGUUAGCAUGUUGCUUUAGCUCGGUGCUCUGCAGGUUAGCAUGUUGCUUUAGCUCGGGGAUCUGCAGGUUAGCAUGUUGCUUUAGCUCGGUGCUCUGCAGGUUAGCAUGUUGCUUUAGCUCGGUGCUCUGCAGGUUAGCAUGUUGCUUUAGCUCUGGGCUGUUAGUAGAAGCGUUACGGUAAUCUGCAGGUUAGCAUGUUGCUUUAGCUCUGGGCUGUUAGUAGAAGCGUUACGGUAAUCUGCAGGUUAGCAUGUUGCUUUAGCUCGGUGCUCUGCAGGUUAGCAUGUUGCUUUAGCUCUGGGCUGUUAGUAGAAGCGUUACGGUAAUCUGCAGGUUAGCAUGUUGCUUUAGCUCGGGGAUCUGCAGGUUAGCAUGUUGCUUUAGCUCGGUGCUCUGCAGGUUAGCAUGUUGCUUUAGCUCUGGGCUGUUAGUAGAAGCGUUACGGUAAUCUGCAGGUUAGCAUGUUGCUUUAGCUCUGGGCUGUUAGUAGAAGCGUUACGGUAAUCUGCAGGUUAGCAUGUUGCUUUAGCUCUGGGCUGUUAGUAGAAGCGUUACGGUAAUCUGCAGGUUAGCAUGUUGCUUUAGCUCGGUGCUCUGCAGGUUAGCAUGCCGCUUUAACUCGGUGCUCUGCAGGUUAGCAUGUUGCUUUAGCUCGGGGCUCUGCAGGUUAGCAUGUUGCUUUAGCUCGGUGCUCUGCAGGUUAGCAUGUUGCUUUAGCUCGGUGCUCUGCAGGUUAGCAUGCCGCUUUAGCUCGGUGCUCUGCAGGUUAGCAUGUUGCUUUAGCUCGGGGCUCUGCAGGUUAGCAUGUUGCUUUAGCUCGGUGCUCUGCAGGUUAGCAUGCUGCUUUAGCUCGGUGCUCUGCAGGUUAGCAUGUUGCUUUAGCUCGGGGCUCUGCAGGUUAGCAUGUUGCUUUAGCUCGCGGCUCUGCAGGUUAGCAUGCCGCUUUAGCUCGCGGCUCUGCAGGUUUUUGUGGUGCACUAAACUCUGUGAUG